rnacentral:rRNA from 1 species
UACGGAGGGGGCUAGCGUUGUUCGGAAUUACUGGGCGUAAAGCGCACGUAGGCGGCUUUGUAAGUUAGAGGUGAAAGCCUGGAGCUCAACUCCAGAAUUGCCUUUAAGACUGCAUCGCUUGAAUCAUGGAGAGGCGGGUGGAAUUCCGAGUGUAGAGGUGAAAUUCGUAGAUAUUCGGAAGAACACCAGUGGCGAAGGCGGCCCGCUGGACAUGUAUUGACGCUG